rnacentral:rRNA from 2 species
CCCGAUUCCAUCUCGAACUCGGAAGUUAAGCUCUCCAGCGCCGAUGGUACUGCGACCGAGAGGUCGUGGGAGAGUAGGUCGCUGCCAACC